AGGAAUGGCGAAUAAUAAUAUAAACUCCCCGACCCUCUGCACGCUGCACGACCCGGAGGUGGAGGCCAUAAGGCUGGACCUCCAUCUUGCGGCGUGUGCAAUACUGGACCCGGAGAUCCAAAGACCCGCUGUAUAUCGGCGGGUCCUACAGGCCCAGGCCAGGGCCAUGAGGGCCCUCAUCCAGCAGUCCCUCCUGCUGAGCGCUGUCCAGCAGGAGGAGGACCUGCUCAGGGGACAGCUGGAGGAGGUCCUCCAGCAGCUGGAGGAGCUGCAGGAGGCCGCCGCACUUCGCCUUGCCGCAAAGGAGAAGGCCAAAGGAGGAGCAGGAGGAGGAGCAGCAGGAGGAGCAGGAGGAG